UUAGCAACCAUAAAUCUCCCUGGCGCCACCAUCCUUCACAAAUUGGCCAUGCUGGUUUUCAAGUAAUCCGCCACCGCAAUCCGCUAUGGUCAAUAUUUGACAACGCUGAAUUGACCCAAGUCAAAUAAUAGUGAGAAACAGUGAAUACAAGAGAAGACUAAAGAAUUUGAGACAUCAGUGUUUAAGCAUAUGUUUACAGGAAGAACGAGAUCUAAUGUAUGGUUCUCUGUUUUCACAUGUUCCGGUGAUCUAAAAUAACAGGAACAAUAUUACUCUACAAUAACAUAGCACCUUACUCCCUUCAUUCUUAAUUAUAAGCAAAAAUUCUCUUUUUAGAUUCAUUGAAAAAGUGAAGUAUUUGGUCUACAUUAUAGUCCAGAUACAUAAAUUGUUCAAUGAAUCUGAAAAGUUGACUUUUGCUUAUAAUUAAGAAUGGAGGGAGUAACUUUUUAAUUACAACUAAUAAUUGUGCCCUUUGUCAUUCAUCAGAGGACUGAUUUGAUUAUUUCUUCUUCUUUUUUAUGCUGAAUUCAAACGCAAAAGUUUAUAUUGCAUUUGAAGUGUUUGUCAAAGCCAAAUAGUUACUAUUUCACUUUUGAAUAUGAAUUUUGUAUUACUUUUCUCAUGUUUGAUAUGCUUAGUGGUGGAAUUCUUGGAACCAACAAUGAUGAUUAAUUUUACCGACUCUGUUUUGAUAAAUUUUUCAGUAAGUACAUAUAGGAAAGAAA